CAACUUCGAAUAAGUUAUGGACACCUAUCGCCAACUCCCAACUACUUUCCCAUUUUGCCGUGCACCUCGAAACCAAAUUGGAAGACGAUCCCUUCCAACUGGAAUUGUAGGGUUCCGCUUCUCCUUCCCCUCCCCUCCUCCCUCCCUCUCGCUCGCUCGCCCGCUCGCUCGCCUCGCUCUGGCUCGCUCGGUGACUUCUCUCCUUCUCUGAUCGCCAUCUCCGCAACCAGUGCCCUUAGAAGAGAAAGGAGUAGGCCCAGAUCGUACGGAUGCAUUGGAUGUAACAUUACUGGGCCCAGGUGAAGAGAAUGGCAGAAUUGGCAGAGCGUAACCCUCCGUCAGAGGAUGCUGAUGAUACGAGCUGGGUGCCGAGAGUAGAUAUGGAAUUCAAGAGUGAUGAGGCGGCCUACCAAUUCUAUAAUAAUUAUGCUAAAGUAGUGGGAUUCAGUGUUCGGAAAGCUUGGAUUAAUCGAAGAGCCUCAGGAGUCAUCAUAUCGAGGACGUAUGUUUGUUAUAAAGAAGGUUACCAGGGGAACAGGAAAGAUGAGAGUGAGGUGAAGAAACCUCGGCAGAAUGAGAGAACCGGUUGCCUUGCACAUUUGACGAUCAAAAUUACAGCAAAUGGUACAUAUAGGGUGAGCGAGUUCCACCCCAUGCACAACCAUGAGCUUGUCGCACCUGCGAACAUCUUGAAGUCGCAUAGAGUUGCAAAGAGGGCUCGAGCUGUCAUAGCGAAUGCGGCAUCGCAGAAGGCUAUGAUGGAGUGUUUGGUCCGGCAAGCUGGGGGCUAUCGGCAGGUCGCUUUUGUUUCUGUGCAAGAUGCUGCUGAUAAAAGUUGGGCUCCAAAAGUCGAUAUGGAGUUUGAGAACGAUGAAAAGGCCUAUCAGUUCUACAAUGACUAUGCUAAAAGGAUAGGAUUCGAUGUCCGAAAGGCAUGGGUGAACCGAAGAUCUUCUGGUGUUAUUAUAUCAAGGACCUACGUAUGCUACAAAGAAGGCUACUAUGGGAAUAAGAAAGAUGAGAAUCAGGUGGAGAAACAUCGUAUUCGGCCAAAUGAGAGGACCGGUUGCCUUGCCAGAAUGGUCAUUAAACUCGCGAAGAAUGGUAGAUAUCGCGUGACUGAAUUUCAGCCAAUGCACAACCAUGAGUUUGUAACAGCGAGAACAGCACACACUUUAAAAUCACAUAGAGCUGCUAAUAAGAUUCGAAAUGCUGAAGUGAAUUCUGUGGAUGAUUCUUGUGCAUCACCGAAAGCUAUCCAUGAUCAUGUGAGUGGACAAGAUGCAUCUUGUCCACAUCUCACUGUUCUUUCUAUGCAGCAUAAAAAUUAUUUACCUACAAAGCAUAAGGAUGCUCUCAAGCCAGGAGAUGUGGGUGCAAUGCUGGAGUACAUGCAAGAAAGGCAAGUCAAUGACCCUUCAUUUUAUUAUGCGAUACAACUUGAUAAAGAAGACCGAGUUACAAAUGUUUUUUGGACUGAUGGAAAGUCUGUGGUUGACUUUUAUUACUUUGGUGAUGCAGUCUGCUUUGAUACAACAUACAAAACUAAUAGUUGUUCUAGGCCCUUCACACUCUUUUAUGGAGUGAAUCAUCAUAAACAAACUGUCAUCUUUGGUGCUGCAUUGAUAUAUGAUGAAACUAAAGAAUCUUUCAUGUGGUUGUUUGAGACCUUUAAGACUGCAAUGUAUGGCAAGCAACCGCAGGUUAUUCUAACAGAUCAAAAUCCUUUAAUUAGGAAUGCUAUCAAUUUGGUGUGGCCAGCUACGACUCACCGUGUUUGUGUGUGGCACAUGUAUCAGAAUGCAUCCAAGUACUUAGGCCAAGUCUUUCAAGGUUCCAGAACUUUUGCAUAUGAUUUCAGCAGAUGUCUCUUUGAUUGUGAAGAGGAAGAAGAGUUUGUGUCAGCAUGGGGAAAAAUGUUAGAAAAGUACGAUCUCAAAGACAAUGAAUGGUUGAAAAUGUUAUUUGAGGAUAGGAAAAAAUGGGCUGUGGCAUAUGGACGUGAGACAUUUUGUGCAGACAUGAAAAGCACACAACGUUUGAACAGCAUAAGUGGCACGUUAAAGGAGAACUUGAGCCCGGAACGAGAUCUAUUGCAGUUUCUUAAGCAUUUUGAAAGAAUGCUGGAUGAGCAAUGGGAUGCAGAAUUACAGGCUGAUUGUCAUGCCACAUCGAGUACAACAAUUAUAGCUCCUUCUCGGAUGUUGAAGCAAGCAGCCAGUGUAUAUACACCUGCAAUGUUUGAAAUGUUUCAAAGGGAAUUUGAAAUGUCAAUGGAUUGUAUGGUACACAAUUCUGGUGCAGUUGAGACAAUCUACGAGUAUAAGGUUAUUAGUGAGGAUAACCCUAAAGUGCACUUGGUAAGAUUUGACUCUUUAAAUGGUACGCUGGUUUGCAGUUGCAAAAUGUUUGAGUUUGUUGGUAUUCAAUGUCGUCAUGUGUUGAAAGCACUUGAUAUUAUAAAUAUUAAAGAGCUCCCACCACAGUACUAUUUAAAAAGGUGGAGAAAGGAUGCUAAGGUUGGGUCCUUAAGGGACAACCUGGGGCUUGCAACUGACAUUGACCCUUCAUCAUCUAAAGCAACGCGUCUUAGCUCUCUCUGUCGCAUUAUCAGUAUAGUUGCAGCAAGAGCUGCAGAGACUGUUGAGGGAUAUACAUUCGUUCAAAACCAGUCAGAUCAACUUUUUGAUCAUGUGUACCAAAUUCUACAAGCAAGACCUCCUGAGGAACUUCAGAUUAGUUAGGAGUCAUCAGUUCACUGUAAAAUCAGCAACUGUUUGAUGUCAGUAUAUAUCCAGGAAGUUAUCUUCUCAGUGGACACAUGUUUAUUGGAAUGAUAUUAUGUUAAAUAGCUACACGGUUUUGGUGAUUGCUUCAUUAUACUCAUGCUAGACUGUACUUAGAAUAGUUGGGCGGCAAAGGCAUAUUCUAAAAGCUUACAUGGUGGAAAGCUUGAUUCCUAUAUAAGAAUAAAGGUAAUGCCACAUUAUUAUUGAUGAUGUGCUAUAUGAUCUGCAGGGCUCUGCUUGCCGCAUGUUCUCUGGACUUAUGACAGCAAAGCUUGCUUUUGGACCACUGGAGCAUUGACAAGGGGAUCGUAAACUUCAAAUUCUGAUGUGAAAUUUAUUCUGUGUUUGUUCUAAUAAUAUAAGGCCAUUUGGUUGAGAUAUACUGCUAGGAAUUGCUUUACUGCUCUUUUUUUUAAAAUUUAUUUAUGAUUGAUAUUAACAAAGCCUAUUCAAUUUUUUGGUUGAAAAUUAAGUGCCAUGUGAUGUUUUGAUGUAUCCUUUCCCUUAAUUGGAUGGUUACUUUUGCUUCCUAAUUUUCACAGUCAUGAAAAACUUAAAGCAGUUAGAUGAUAGGUCUCAAGUGAAUCUCAAGUGUAUAACAUUUUCAUUCCAUGCGACAUCAGUGACAUGCUUGUGGGGGAAGUUAAUGCACCUGACAGCUUCAGAUGUAAUUGCAAAUUUAUGAAUAACAUGUAGGGAAAUGGUAAAAAUAGGUCAGGGUGCUUGCUUGCUUAGGUGCAAUUUUUGGUGUUUACAUUAUAAUAGUCUUUCUUCAUCGUAAAUAGCUCCUAUUCCUCUUCAGAGAACAUGCAUGAAGAUUCUAGUCUGUUUUCUUGCAUAUCCGUUGACUGGAGUUGUUUCAUGUUUGAUCUUGAAUAACAUGAUUUUAUACCUUCAGUCUACAAGGUUGAGAGGACUCAAGCUAGUGUCAUCAAUUAUGGUCCCAGCCUCAAUGUUCUGUAAUUAGAAAUUUAUAUUCGAAGUGUAGCGUGAGAGGCACAACAAGCAUAGAGUUAUGUCUGAAAGUGUCAUCAAGACAUGAACAUUGCAGCAACCGACUGGAUUCCUCUGUGGUGUCAUGUUUUUAGUGUUUUUUAUUUAUGUAGCACUUGGCUGCUGCUGGAUACACAUGGCUUUGAGAGAUGUGAAGCUGGUUCACACAGUUUAAGAGUGUCAAAGAUGGCUUGCUCUUUUGUGUGAUUUUAUCUUCUUGUUAAGCACGCUCGAAACACCCACCUCUAGGUUUGUACCUUGAACUUCUCUCAAGUACAUGCCUUAAGGAUGGAGGGUGCCCUAUGAUCAUAGCAUUUGAGUUGUAUGGUUUCUCUCACUUAAGAGAAGAAUUCAGUGAACUAUUUCUGGGGCGAUGCUAUUUUUUUUUGUUUAAUAUGAAUACCCAAGAACUAGUAUGAACUAUAAUAAUACUCACCAUCCCA